AGAGUUUGAUCCUGGCUCAGGAUGAACGCUGGCGGCGUGCUUAACACAUGCAAGUCGAACGAAGCACUCUAUUUGAUUUUCUUCGGAAAUGAAGAUUUUGUGACUGAGUGGCGGACGGGUGAGUAACGCGUGGGUAACCUGCCUCAUACAGGGGGAUAACAGUUGGAAACGACUGCUAAUACCGCAUAAGCGCACAGGACCGCAUGGUCCGGUGUGAAAAACUCCGGUGGUAUGGGAUGGACCCGCGUCUGAUUAGCCAGUUGGCAGGGUAACGGCCUACCAAAGCGACGAUCAGUAGCCGACCUGAGAGGGUGACCGGCCACAUUGGGACUGAGACACGGCCCAAACUCCUACGGGAGGCAGCAGUGGGGAAUAUUGCACAAUGGGGGAAACCCUGAUGCAGCGACGCCGCGUGAGCGAAGAAGUAUUUCGGUAUGUAAAGCUCUAUCAGCAGGGAAGAAGAAUGACGGUACCUGACUAAGAAGCACCGGCUAAAUACGUGCCAGCAGCCGCGGUAAUACGUAUGGUGCAAGCGUUAUCCGGAUUUACUGGGUGUAAAGGGAGCGCAGGCGGUGCGGCAAGUCUGAUGUGAAAGCCCGGGGCUCAACCCCGGUACUGCAUUGGAAACUGUCGUACUAGAGUGUCGGAGGGGUAAGUGGAAUUCCUAGUGUAGCGGUGAAAUGCGUAGAUAUUAGGAGGAACACCAGUGGCGAAGGCGGCUUACUGGACGAUAACUGACGCUGAGGCUCGAAAGCGUGGGGAGCAAACAGGAUUAGAUACCCUGGUAGUCCACGCCGUAAACGA
rnacentral:rRNA from 1 species